rnacentral:rRNA from 1 species
AUCUACACCUGCAACGACACAGAGGCUCUAUGGAUGCUUCGAAUAAAAAGGGCACCUUUCUCCAGGCUUGUGCAGACGUUCAGGAGCAGGGGGCUACAGAAAGAUAUCAUCCACACCGUUGUGGAAUACCAAGUUGUCAUGUUCCUCCAUGUUGUAGGUCAUAACCAGAGGUUUAGGGUUAUCCACAACAUGUUUAGGAGAUCAUUGGAGACCAUUUCCAGGUAUUUCAAGCAAGUGUUGUAUGUUGUUGGGGAGCUCAGAGGAGAGAUGAUUAGGUUACCAACCGGGCAAACUCCUAGCAAGGUACGCACUAGCCCAAGAUGGUAUCCGUAUUUCAAGGUGAGCACUAAUCAUAGUUCAUGCAUUCACAUGCUUGUCAUGCCAUUUUUAGGAUUGCCAUAA